GGCGGGCGGGUGAGUAACGCGUGAGGAACCUGCCUUUCAGAGGGGGACAACAGUUGGAAACGACUGCUAAUACCGCAUAACGCAUAGGAGUCGCAUGGCUCCAAUGCCAAAGAUUUAUCGCUGAAAGAUGGCCUCGCGUCCGAUUAGCUGGUUGGCGGGGUAACGGCCCACCAAGGCGACGAUCGGUAGGGGUUCUGAGAGGAAGGUCCCCCACAAUGGAACUGAGACACGGUCCAUACUCCUACGGGAGGCAGCAGUGAGGAAUAUUGGCCAAUGGGCGGAAGCCUGAACCAGCCAUGCCGCGUGCGGGAAGGAGGCCCUAUGGGCUGUGAACCGCUUUUGCGAGGGGGCAAUAAGGGCGUCGCGCACGUCCGAUGAGAGUACCUCGCGAAUAAGCAUCGGCUAACUCCGCGCCAGCAGCCGCGGUAAUACGGGGGAUGCGAGCGUUAUCCGGAUUCAUUGGGUUUAAAGGGUGCGUAGGCUGUGCGUCAAGUCAGGGGUGAAAUUCCCGCGCUCAACGCGGGGGCUGCCUUUGAUACUGUCGCGCUGGAGUGCGGAUGCCGCCGGAGGAAUGAGUGGUGUAGCGGUGAAAUGCUUAGAUAUCACUCAGAACACCGAUUGCGAAGGCAUCUGGCGAAUCCGUAACUGACGCUGAGGCACGAAAGCGUGGGGAUAGAACAGGGUUAGAUACCCUGGUAUUCCACGCCGUAAACGAUGAUGGCUAACCCCCGGCGACACCAGUCCGGGGGCCAGCAAAACCAUAAACCCUCCACCGGGGGAGUACCUCGGGCACAAAGAAACUCAAAGAAUUGACGGGGGCCCCACCACCGAAGGAAAUGUGGUUUAAUUCCAGGAAACCCCAAGGAACCUUACCCGGGCUCGAACGGCAGGGGGAAUCACCCCAGAGAAGGGGGAGUUUUUCGACUCCCCGGCGAAGGGGCUGCAAGGGUUGUUGUCAAGUUCGGGCCGUGAGGUGUCGGUUCCAAGUGCCAUAACGAGCGCCAACCCUUGCCGCCAGUUGCCAUCAGGUGAAGCUGGGCACUCUGGCGGGACUGCCACCGCAAGGUGUGAGGAGGGGGGGAUGACGUCAAAUCAGCACGGCCCUUACGUCCGGGGCGACACACGUGUUACAAUGGCGGCCACAGAGGGAAGCUACCCCGCGAGGGGAUGCGGAUCUCGAAAAGCCGUCCCAGUUCGGACUGGAGUCUGCAACCCGACUCCACGAAGUUGGAUUCGCUAGUAAUCGCGCAUCAGCCAUGGCGCGGUGAAUACGUUCCCGGGCCUUGCACACACCGCCCGUCAAG
rnacentral:rRNA from 1 species